rnacentral:sRNA from 1 species
AUGUACUCCCGAACACUCCGGUUUCUGUGCGCCGUCUGCGACCAGUUGACGAUUGCUCGCUACGCGUUGUCAGUC